AUACUUGUCAUCAAAAUGGAUAAAAAGGGGUGUAUCUAGAACUAAAAUACAUCUAGAUACAUCCCCUUUUAUUCAUCUUGAUGACAAGUAUUUCCGGACGGAGGGAGUAUGUA
rnacentral:pre_miRNA from 1 species